CCCGCACAAGCGGUGGAGCAUGUGGUUUAAUUCGACGCAACGCGAAGAACCUUACCUGGGCUUGACAUCUGCGGAAUUUCUAUGAAAGUAGGAAGUGCCCUUCGGGGAGCCGCAAGACAGGUGCUGCAUGGCUGUCGUCAGCUCGUGUCGUGAGAUGUUGGGUUAAGUCCCGCAACGAGCGCAACCCUUAUCUUUAGUUACCAUCAUUCAGUUGGGGACUCUAAAGAUACUGCCCCGGUCAACGGGGAGGAAGGUGGGAUGACGUCAAGUCCUCAUGGCCCUUAUGUCCAGGGCUACACACGUGCUACAAUGGGCAGUACAAAGGGUAGCAAGCCUGCGAAGGUGAGCCAAUCUCAAAAAGCUGUUCGUAGUUCGGAUUGGAGUCUGCAACUCGACUCCAUGAAGCUGGAAUCGCUAGUAAUCGCGGAUCAGCAUGCCCGCGGUCGAAUACGUUCCCGGGCCUU
rnacentral:rRNA from 1 species